rnacentral:tRNA from 2 species
GGCUCCGUGGCUUAAUGGUUACGGCUUCUGCCUCACAAGCAGAAGGUUCAGGGAUCAAAUCCCGGCCGGGUUA